rnacentral:piRNA from 1 species
UGUUUUAUGGUGAUAACAGAGUCGC